rnacentral:rRNA from 1 species
CUGGGAUACCACUUGGAAACAGGUGCUAAUACCGGAUAACAACAUGAAUCGCAUGAUUCAAGUUUGAAAGGCGGCGCAAGCUGUCACUUUAGGAUGAGCCCGCGGCGCAUUAGCUAGUUGGUGGGGUAAAGGCCUACCAAGGCAAUGAUGCGUAGCCGAGUUGAGAGACUGAUCGGCCACAUUGGGACUGAGACACGGCCCAAACUCCUACGGGAGGCAGCAGUAGGGAAUCUUCCACAAUGGACGCAAGUCUGAUGGAGCAACGCCGCGUGAGUGAAGAAGGUUUUCGGAUCGUAAAGCUCUGUUGUUGGUGAAGAAGGAUAGAGGCAGUAACUGGUCUUUAUUUGACGGUAAUCAACCAGAAAGUCACGGCUAACUACGUGCCAGCAGCCGCGGUAAUACGUAGGUGGCAAGCGUUGUCCGGAUUUAUUGGGCGUAAAGCGAGCGCAGGCGGAAUGAUAAGUCUGAUGUGAAAGCCCACGGCUCAACCGUGGAACUGCAUCGGAAACUGUCAUUCUUGAGUGCAGAAGAGGAGAGUGGAACUCCAUGUGUAGCGGUGGAAUGCGCAGAGAUAUGGAAGAACACCAGUGGCGAAGGCGGCUCUCUGGUCUGCAACUGACGCUGAGGCUCGAAAGCAUGGGUAGCGAACAGGAUUAGAUACCCUGGUAGUCCAUGCCGUAAACGAUGAGCGCUAGGUGUUGGGGACUUUCCGGUCCUCAGUGCCGCAGCAAACGCAUUAAGCGCUCCGCCUGGGGAGUACGACCGCAAGGUUGAAACUCAAAGGAAUUGACGGGGGCCCGCACAAGCGGUGGAGCAUGUGGUUUAAUUCGAAGCAACGCGAAGAACCUUACCAGGUCUUGACAUCCUGCGC